CUCAGUUAGUGAAGGAAGUAGAGAAGAAAACACAGUUCAGAGUCAGUACCUUAUCAGCCUGUACUCCGUUGACAUAUCAAAGAAAUUGGGAAGAGCAAGAAGAGACGUCUGCAAUUCGAGUGGGUUUUGUCACGUAUAACAAAGUUCUCCAUUUCUUUAAUGUGAAGAGUAAUCUGGCCCAGCCUCAGAUGAUGGUGGUGACUGAUGUUGGAGAAGUCUUUGUUCCUUUGUUGGAUGGUUUCCUUGUCAACUAUCAAGAAUCCCAAUCUGUGAUUCAUAAUUUGUUGGACCAGAUUCCAGACAUGUUUGCAGACUCUAAUGAAAAUGAGACUGUCUUUGCUCCUGUCAUCCAGGCUGGUAUGGAAGCACUGAAGGCAGCAGACUGUCCUGGGAAACUGUUCAUCUUCCAUUCUUCCUUGCCAACUGCUGAAGCACCAGGGAAGCUCAAAAACAGAGAUGACAAAAAACUGGUUAAUACAGACAAAGAGAAGAUACUUUUCCAGCCCCAAACAAAUGUCUAUGACGCAUUGGCCAAGGACUGCGUGGCUCACGGCUGCUCUGUGACACUCUUCCUCU
rnacentral:sRNA from 1 species